UCCUGUAUGGCUGGCUGGUAACAGCACUGCAAAAGUCAAGUAGAAACCGCCGGUUCGAUUCCGGCUACAGGACCA
rnacentral:tRNA from 1 species